UGUGAAGCCGGGCAGCCGGCCUUGUCCCAUUGACAGCCGGGGCACGUCUGCGGAGCCCCGGAGCCCCGUGGAACAAUCAACGGACUCUAUGUCCCGGGAGCUGGGGACACACCUGUAAGCAU
rnacentral:lncRNA from 1 species